rnacentral:lncRNA from 1 species
AAAUUAAGAUAAGACAUCUAGGAGCAGCAAAUGUUAUUCUAAAUUAGGCAAUGCACAUGGCGAUGAGGAUGGGGAAUCUCUGAGGUUCCAGGCUCAAAAAUGAGCAGGGCACGCAUGAAGGUCUGCCUACUGUAUGUUGCCCACUAAUUUUACUGUCCAAUUGUAAUUCUUUUUCAGGUCAUGUAUUUGACCAAUCUGUGCUGCUCCAUUACUACCAGAAGAACAACUGCAGCUACGAUCCUCAUCCUCCCAUUUAUUCUUUUCCCAUGAGAUCUAGACAUUUGAAAGGUAGAGGAAGAAAUAAGAGGAUGUGUAAGCAGAGCAGAGAUUAGAAAAUCACUAGGUGGCACUGUUGUUUUGCAAAAAAGUGCCAUAGAACAUCAAUGAUACAACCUGGAGAAAUAUGUGAUUUUUAAGCUCUCGUUCAUUCACAGUAACUUGAACUAAUUUUGCUAUUUUAUGUAAUUAUUGCAGAUGCAGUUCAAAUAACACUCUGCAAACUCUGACAAUUUUAUACUUAAAUAAAGUGAAAUGUGUUUAUCCCCA